AAACAAACAUGGCGGCUUCCAUGUCGAUUUGAUGGUUUUCGUCCAUUUUCGUCGCCAUAUACGUUACUGAGGGAUUCAAUAUCAAGCAUCAUAAACAUGGGUCCUGAUGAGGAGACAUCGAACACGCUCAUAGUACGCCACCUAUCUGCUGAGCUGAGUAUUGCAGACAGGGAGGGCCUGCUGAAACACUUUGGUGCCGAGAGCGUCAAGUGUAUGUCAGACAAGGGCAGGAUGAAACAUACUGCCUUAGCAACAUUCAC